AGAUUGCGUAUUAGUACUUUUCAAUAAUAUAGACAUAUAUUAUUGUGGCGAGCAUUUGGCCCAAGUCUAUAUAUACAAAAGACGUGUAUAUAUAUCAAUCAACUGAAGACAAGAAGAAAUUAAGAAGAUUUAACAGUGACGAUCAUUCCAACCAGAUUUUACAUUGGCCAGCCAGCCAGUCUUCUAUUCAAGUUUUGUUCCCACUACAAGGGGGG